AAGGAUCAUUAUCGUGGGGCUUCGGCGGCCCGUCGAGAAAAUACCCUUGCCUUUAUGAGUACCUUGGGAUACCCACCCCCGGAUUUUCCGGGGCGUGGGGGCACCAUGAUCAUUUUCCUCGGCCGGAUUCCCGGCCAAUGGGGACCACAAAACACCCUGUAACCACCUGUAACUGUCUGAUAAAACAAACAAAAAUCAAAACUUUCAACAACGGAUCUCUUGGUUCUGGCAUCGAUGAAGAACGCAGCGAAAUGCGAUAAGUAGUGUGAAUUGCAGAAUUCAGUGAAUCAUCGAAUCUUUGAACGCACAUUGCGCCCUUUGGUAUUCCUUAGGGCAUGCCUGUUCGAGCGUCAUCUAAACCUUCAAGCACUGCUUGGUGUUGGGUGCCUGUCCCGCCCCCGCGCGUGGACUCACCUCAAAUCCAUUGGCGGCCCUCACGUCGGCUACGAGCGCAGCAGAAACGCGAACUUGUGGACCCGGCGGAGUGGCUCCCAGAAGCUACAUUCACCAUUUUGACCUCGGAUCAGGUAGGGAUACCCGCUGAACUUAA
rnacentral:rRNA from 1 species